UGCUGUAUUACUACCCCUGUCGGUCCACCAGAACAGUCAUGUGUCGGUCAUGAACGAAUCUUUAAUGUGACUCAGGAACAACGAGAUGUCUCAGAGGGUGAUUCGUUCAUUUCUGACCGCGCAUGCGCAACAACAGCGCCAUAGAUUCUGUAGAGGAAACAGAAAUGAUUAGUUCACGUCUCGAGUCUUCGGGUGACUGCCGCAUAAACAAUGCACCAUGCAAUACCGGAAACGGGAUGAAUGAAUGACUCGAACACGAAGAGUCGAAACGUGAACUAAUAAUUUCUGUUUCCGGGGAACAGACGUGACAAAAUGUGCCGUGACAAAAGAAAGAACGUCUCGGAUUGGCUUAGACUGCAUAGCUUGAAGACCUAAUGCUAAGCUAUUAAUUAAUCAUUGCUCAAAUGAACGAAAUGACUCGAAAAAAAAAGAUUCAUUCAUUUUGCUAAACGAGAUUCAAAGAUCCCAGUCAGUAAAAUGAUCCGAACUUCCUAUCAGUACACCAGAGGGCGCUGCGGAUUAAGUUUUGCUGAGUUACCGCCACACUGAAGAAGAGAACUGUAUCACAGGUGUACACCACGCUGGGUGUUGUAGUGUCCAAUAUAUUUGAAUGUUUUCCCUGUUAUAAUCUCACUUCAACUCAGGAACGGAUGUGAGCAGAAAAUGGCUGCCUCUAACACUUUUCUGUCUGAAGAGCAGUUGCAGUGCUCGAUCUGUCUGGAAAUAUUCACUAAGCCUGUCUCUACCCAAUGUGGACACAACCAUUGCAUGGUAUGUGUCAACAAAUACUGGGACAAUUGUCAAAAGUACAAUUGUCCAUUCUGAAAGAAAGAAUUCAGUGAAAGGCCAGAACUUUGUGUUAAUAUGUUCAUAUCUGACCUGGCUGCUCAAUUCAAAGAGUCAGUGAAGGUGGGGUCCAGUGUUCACACAAAGAAGCUUCAUGCUGCACAGGGACAUGUGCCAUGUGAUGUUUGUACUGACCCUACACAGGAGGCCCUAAGGUCCUGUCUGGAUUGUGGUAUGUCAUUCUGUGAUACACAUUUGGAGCAUCAUAAAAUCGCAGCGAAACUUAAGCAACACAGAUUAAUUGAUGCUGUGAAGAACCUGGUGGACCGUAUAUGCCAGAGGCAUCAGAGACCUAUGGAGUUGUUCUGUAGGAAUGAUCAAAAGUGUGUGUGUCUGUUCUGCACUGAGGGAGAGCAUAAGAGCCACAACACUGUUCCUAUAGCGGAGGAGAGUGCAGAAAAGAAGACUAAGAUACAGAAAACUCAGGCAGAUGUUCAGAAGAUGAUCCAGGACAGACUGAAAAAGAUUGAAGAAAUAAAGCAUUCUGUAGCCCUGAAAAAAGUGAGUCUUAACUAAAAACAAACUACUGAACACACCAGAUUUC